AUACUUACCUGGCAAGGGAGACACCGUGAUCAAGAAGGCGGUCACCCAGGGCGAGGCUCAGCCAUUGAACUCCGGCUGUGC
rnacentral:snRNA from 8 species